rnacentral:rRNA from 1 species
UACUUAGGGUGCGAGCGUUAAUCGGAAUUACUGGGCGUAAAGCGUGCGCAGGCGGUUCGUUGUGUCGGUGGUGAAAUCCCCGGGCUUAACCUGGGAAUGGCCAUGGAAACUGGCGAACUGGAGUGCGGCAGAGGGGGGUGGAAUUCCGCGUGUAGCAGUGAAAUGCGUAGAGAUCCGGAGGAACACCGAUGGCGAAGGCAGCCCCCUGGGUCAAGAUUGACGCUCAUGCACGAAAGCGUGGGGAGCAAACAGG